UACGAAGGGGGCUAGCGUUGUUCGGAAUUACUGGGCGUAAAGCGUGCGCAGGCGGCUUCUCAAGUCAGGGGUGAAAGCCCAGAGCUCAACUCUGGAAUUGCCUUUGAGACUGAGUGGCUUGAGUACGAGAGAGGUGAGUGGGAUUCCCAGUGUAGAGGUGAAAUUCGUAGAUAUUGGGAAGAACACCGGUGGCGAAGGCGGCUCACUGGCUCGUAACCGACGCUGAGGCGCGAAAGCUAGGGGAGCAAACAGG
rnacentral:rRNA from 1 species